rnacentral:lncRNA from 1 species
GCAGAGCCAUCUGACACCCUUUACUGCCACUGCUCAUUACCACCCUCCCAGCAGUGAUGCCAGCCAGGACCCUCGCUUCGCUGGUGAGGGCGCUGUGAUAGUCACCUUGCUACCUGUGGAAACAGGGGGGCCUUCCAUGAGGCUGGCCCUGGGCACUCACAGACUCCUGCACCUUUAAGAGUCAGCACAUCGGAGCCUGGCCUCUCUCUUCUUUCUUUGUUUCUGCAGAUGAAGGCACCUAAGCAAAACUGGGCUCCUCCCUGUCCGUACAUCAAAUUUCAGUGCCAUACGUUAAAAGUUUUUUUAAUGUUCUGCGUCUUCUCUGAUAUUUUUAACAAAGCUGGUGAGGCUUACACAAUAUGUAGGGUUCAAGAUGGCAGACCAACUGCUGUACUUUCACAGAGAAACAGAAAGGAACAAAUCCACAAUCGAGAAGGAAUGGGGGACGUUCCCUUCAUGACCUAGCAGUUAACGAACCAGCCUAGGAUCCAUGAGGAUGCGGGUUUGAUCCCUGGCCUCACUCAGUGGGUUAAGGAUCCGGCGUUGCCGUGAGCUGUGGUGUAAGUUACAGAUGCAGCUCAGAUCCCGCCUUGCUGUGGCUCUGGCAUAAGCUGGCAGCUACAGCUCCGAUUAGACCCCUAAUUUCAAGGUGUGGCCCUAAAAAGCCAAAAACAAAAAGCAAAAAACAGAAAAAGAGAGAGAGAAUUAGAAGAGAUUUCCCAGUGAACAAAUGGUGCCAACAGAUUUCUGGAAGAUGGGAAGAAGAUGGGGCACGGUUAAUGGAUAAAACCUCAGUCUGGGAAGUUCAGUGAGUGCUUUGGAGAAGUUUCAGGCUCACUAUCAACAGUUACCCCCUACCACCCAUCCCCCCACCCCCCCAAAAAAGAGUGAAGAAUGAGAGGACCAAAUGAAACUGAAAACAGGGGAAUUAAUGAAAAUGUUAUAAAUGAGAAAGUACAUGGCACUGUUUUAUUCACCCCUCCGACAUGGCAGCAUCCAGGAUUUACUCCUGAAAGAGCCAUCUUGGGAAAUAGUUAAGGAACAUUGAGGCUUCUGGUGUGGAUGUUGGAGCCCAGAAUAAACCCUCCUCAUCAUAGCAUCUGGAGAAAGAAGUGCCCAGACUGACAGCUGGCACCCUACCUGCUCACCCUAAGGAGAAAGCCACCUGUUAGCACUCCUUGCUGCACCACCCACGUGAUCCUCCCUGGCAGAACACCUCCCACCCAGAGAAGAGGCGUUUUAGGAGCCGAUAUUUGGAGGCCUAGCAUCCCACUAAUUGGAGUCUCGGGUGAAGAUCAGAACACGAAGGGGAAGGAAAAGCACUGCAGAAUUAGUAGAAAUGCUUUUCUAGAACUGGGGAAGGGCACACGUCCUCAUCGUAAAAGCAUGUACCAGCUGCCUGAUGUGGUGAAUGGAAAAAAAAACAAAAAACAACAACAAAAAAACCCAGCCUCCCCAAACACAACCUCAGCAAAGGUCAGAAUGCCAAAAGUAAAGCUACUAAAUGCUACAGAGAGGGAGGGAGGGGGAAAAACAGUCAGCUGGCGUCAGACUUGCGAUCAAUAGCACUAAGAGCCAGGAAAUAAUGAACUGGUGUCCUCUCAGCUCUGAAGAAUGAUCUCAACCUAGAAUUAUAUAUCCAGAGAGUGUAUCAGCCGAUUCAGAGGGCAAGAGAAAGACAUUUUCAGAUUUGCAAGGAUUCAGAAAGUUUGCUUUUCUUGCUCUUCUUCCUAGGGAACUAAUUAAGCAUGUAUUUGAGCAAAGCAAGCAAAUAACCCCCCCCCCAAAUUAGAAGAUGUAUGUUCACAAAAUGCUUGAUUCCAUGCAGAAAAACAGUGAAAGGACAGAGAAACCAUCCAAGGUGGAGUCUCACACUACCCCUGCUCGGAAGGGUCUCUGGGGAGGGGCAAGAAUCAAGACCAUAGAGAGGAGGAUUGAGAAGUUGGGGGCAGGGGACCCCUCAGGAUGAUACAUGCAAAUGCUGCAAGAAAAAGGAAAGUCAGCUGGAAAUUUUGGGGUUCAGGGGAAGCUAUACAAGAAAUGUAUGGUCCAUAUACAAAGUGAACUUCUAGAAGCGUCCUCCUUGAGAGGCCCCAGGGCCAUGGCUGACCAAUGGAGAUGGGAAUGUAAUACCUACAGGCACCGGGCCGAGCACAGAGGGGUGCUUAGAGCACACAGCAAUGUAAACGCUUUUCAUAAUUUUUCAGGACGAAUGCAGACAAAGCCUGAAAGACUUGACUGUGGUUGCAGCACAGUGCGGGCAAAUGUAAAAAUGUAGCUGGGAUGGAAGAUGGGGGCAGCGUGAAGGCUGAUUCGUGGACAGCAGAGGAAGGAGGGUUUUCAAAGGGUCAUUAAUAGCUUCAUCUCAAAAAGCAGAGACACGCAGGACACUAGAAGUAAAAAUAAUGGUUUCGGUAAUAUAUUUAAAUCACUAAGUACAGCAUUUUCACACUAAAACAAUAAAAUAUAGGAAGAGGAGAGAAAUAUUACAAGUGAGCUCUGUGUUUAUGUUUCAUAUCAAGAGGUUUAUUAGGACACUGUUGACUGCGUGUAGCAGCAAAUCCUGCCUUAAGUGACUUAAAAAAUGUAUUUUAAAAAAUAUUGUCUCCCACAUAAUGUCAAGUGCCAAGAUAGGGUGGCUUGAGGGUUGGCUAAUUCAGUGGCCCAAUGAUGUAACUGAGAACCUAGGUUCAUGCCAUCUCUUUGCUCUUUCUCCCUCAAGAUGUGUUGGCCUCGUCCUCUACUGCCCGCUCUGUGGUCCAGGGCUGGUCCCUGCCUUUCCAAGCAUCACAAAAUAUCCAGUGGAGAAAGAGUAUCACCCUUCUGUGCCAAAUGUUUGUCAGCAAGGAGACACUUCCAGCACUUCCUCAGCUGACUUUCCCUCAUGUCAUGUAUGGCCCACACCCUCCACUAAACCAGUCAUUGGCAGCAGAAAUGGAAAGCUGCCCUUUUACAGCCACUCUUCAGCUGACUUGACUUGGCAAGAAGUCCCUGAAAAUGGCAAUUUCUAUCUCAGCCUGAACCUAAGACUUCAGCAUGGCCACACUGAAUCUCAUCUUUCCUUUGAUUGAUAAGUGUUCAUAGCAGUGGACCUAGUAAAGGAAAGCUGUCCGUGUUAUUCCUGUCCUCGGUUCAAUUACAGACAUAAUUCAGAAAAAAACAGAGCCCAUUCUGUCUGGUUUCCUCCUUUGGUUGUUUUCCUGUGAAAUAGAGAAAUAGAGUUUCCUUCUUUCUGGUUUAUAUGUCAAAUCUGGAUUCUUGAACUGCUAAGUGAGUUUGUUUCUUUAAUUAAACAGCUCUAUAGAAUACAAAGAUUCUACAAGAUCCUUCUUCUCUUUAGGUAAACGAUAGCCUGUCCGUACUAUAUAGAUUCUUUAGAGAGAGAAGGAUUUUUAUCUCUUCUCCAAACUUUCUUGUCUUGUUAACUUGGUAAAGUGGAAACAACAUGCAAACCCAGAUUUGAAUCCCAGCUCUACCACUUAUUAUAUUAGCUGUAUAAUAUGCAGUAGUUUCCUAACCUUUGAACACUUUAGUUAUCUCACCUCUAAAAUGGAAAUGA